rnacentral:rRNA from 1 species
GACGAGCGCUGGCGGCGUGCCUAAUACAUGCAAGUUGAGCGCUGAAGGUUGGUACUUGUACCGACUGGAUGAGCAGCGAACGGGUGAGUAACGCGUGGGGAAUCUGCCUUUGAGCGGGGGACAACAUUUGGAAACGAAUGCUAAUACCGCAUAAAAACUUUAAACACAAGUUUUAAGUUUGAAAGAUGCAAUUGCAUCACUCAAAGAUGAUCCCGCGUUGUAUUAGCUAGUUGGUGAGGUAAAGGCUCACCAAGGCGAUGAUAUAUAGCCGACCUGAGAGGGUGAUCGGCCACAGUGGGACUGAGACACGGCCCAAACACAUACGGGAGGCAGCAGUAGGGAAUCUUCGGCAAUGGACGAAAGUCUGACCGAGCAACGCCGCGUGAGUGAAGAAGGUUUUCGGAUCGUAAAACUCUGUUGGUAGAGAAGAACGGUGGUGAGAGUGGAAAGCGCAUCAAGUGACGGUAACUACCCAGAAAGGGACGGCUAACUACGUG